UCCGGCUUAUCACCGGCAGUCUCCUUAGAGUGCCUUAACGUAGCAACUAAGGACAAGGGUUGCGCUCGUUGCGGGACUUAACCCAACAUCUCACGACACGAGCUGACGACAGCCAUGCAGCACCUGUGUUACGGCUCUCUUUCAAGCACCCUAGCCUUUCAGCUAGGUUCCGUACAUGUCAAGGGUAGGUAAGGUUUUUCGCGUUGCAUCGAAUUAAUCCACAUCAUCCACCGCUUGUGCGGGUCCCCGUCAAUUCCUUUGAGUUUUAGUCUUGCGACCGUACUCCCCAGGCGGUCAACUUCACGCGUAAGCUACGUUACUAAGGAAAAUUCCCCUAACAACCAGUUGACAUCGUUUAGGGCGUGGACUAC
rnacentral:misc_RNA from 1 species